rnacentral:rRNA from 1 species
UACGGAGGGUGCAAGCGUUAUCCGGAUUCACUGGGUUUAAAGGGUGCGUAGGCGGGUAAGUAAGUCCGUGGUGAAAUCUCUGAGCUUAACUCAGAAACUGCCGUGGAUACUAUUUGCCUUGAAUAUUGUGGAGGUGAGCGGAAUAUGUCAUGUAGCGGUGAAAUGCUUAGAUAUGACAUAGAACACCAAUUGCGAAGGCAGCUUACUAUGGUUUUAUUGACACUGAGGCACGAAAGCGUGGGGAUCAAACAGG